rfam:Methylobacterium tarhaniae strain DSM 25844 contig_54, whole genome shotgun sequence.
GGGUCGGCAGUCACCCAGGCGUCACCGCCCCGCGAGGGGAGCUAAACCUGCCU